UACGUAGGGUGCGAGCGUUAAUCGGAAUUACUGGGCGUAAAGCGUGCGCAGGCGGUUUUGUAGCCCGAUGUGAAAUCCCCGGGCUUAACCUGGGAAUGGCAUUUGGGACUGCAAGGCUUGAGUGCGGCAGAGGAGACUAGAAUUCCUGGUGUAGCAGUGAAAUGCGUAGAUAUCAGGAGGAAUACCGAUGGCGAAGGCAGGUCUCUGGGCCGAUACUGACGCUGAGGAGCGAAAGCGUGGGGAGCGAACAGG
rnacentral:rRNA from 1 species